rnacentral:rRNA from 1 species
AGAGUUUGAUCCUGGCUCAGGACGAACGCUGGCGGCGCGCCUAACACAUGCAAGUCGAACGAGCGAGAGAGAGCUUGCUUUCUCGAGCGAGUGGCGAACGGGUGAGUAACGCGUGAGGAAUCUGCCUCAAAGAGGGGGACAACAGUUGGAAACGACUGCUAAUACCGCAUAAGCCCACGGUGCCGCAUGGCACAGAGGGAAAAGGAGCAAUCCGCUUUGAGAUGGCCUCGCGUCCGAUUAGCUAGUUGGUGAGGUAACGGCCCACCAAGGCAACGAUCGGUAGCCGGACUGAGAGGUUGAACGGCCACAUUGGGACUGAGACACGGCCCAGACUCCUACGGGAGGCAGCAGUGGGGAAUAUUGCACAAUGGGGGAAACCCUGAUGCAGCGACGCCGCGUGGAGGAAGAAGGUCUUCGGAUUGUAAACUCCUGUUGUUGGGGAAGAUAAUGACGGUACCCAACAAGGAAGUGACGGCUAACUACGUGCCAGCAGCCGCGGUAAAACGUAGGUCACAAGCGUUGUCCGGAAUUACUGGGUGUAAAGGGAGCGCAGGCGGGAAGACAAGUUGGAAGUGAAAUCUAUGGGCUCAACCCAUAAACUGCUUUCAAAACUGUUUUUCUUGAGUAGUGCAGAGGUAGGCGGAAUUCCCGGUGUAGCGGUGGAAUGCGUAGAUAUCGGGAGGAACACCAGUGGCGAAGGCGGCCUACUGGGCACCAACUGACGCUGAGGCUCGAAAGUGUGGGUAGCAAACAGGAUUAGAUACCCUGGUAGUCCACACCGUAAACGAUGAUUACUAGGUGUUGGAGGAUUGACCCCUUCAGUGCCGCAGUAAACACAAUAAGUAAUCCACCUGGGGAGUACGACCGCAAGGUUGAAACUCAAAGGAAUUGACGGGGGCCCGCACAAGCAGUGGAGUAUGUGGUUUAAUUCGACGCAACGCGAAGAACCUUACCAAGUCUUGACAUCCCUUGACAGACAUAGAAAUAUGUAAUCUCUUCGGAGCAAGGAGACAGGUGGUGCAUGGUUGUCGUCAGCUCGUGUCGUGAGAUGUUGGGUUAAGUCCCGCAACGAGCGCAACCCUUAUGGUCAGUUACUACGCAAGAGGACUCUGGCCAGACUGCCGUUGACAAAACGGAGGAAGGUGGGGAUGACGUCAAAUCAUCAUGCCCUUUAUGACUUGGGCUACACACGUACUACAAUGGCGUUAAACAAAGAGAAGCAAGACCGCGAGGUGGAGCAAAACUCAGAAACAACGUCCCAGUUCGGACUGCAGGCUGCAACUCGCCUGCACGAAGUCGGAAUUGCUAGUAAUCGUGGAUCAGCAUGCCACGGUGAAUACGUUCCCGGGCCUUGUACACAC